rnacentral:rRNA from 1 species
GUUCGAUCUCAAAUCAGGUAGGACUACCCGCUGAACUUAAGCAUAUCAAUAAGCGGAGGAAAAGAAACUAACAAGGAUUCCCCUAGUAACUGCGAGUGAAGCGGGAAGAGCUCAAAUUUAAAAUCUGGCGUGCCUCUGGUCGUCCGAGUUGUAGUCUAGAGAAGUGUUUUCCGUGCUGGACCGUGUACAA